UGGCUCAGUGGAUAGAGCAUUGGUCUGCGGAAUCAAGGGUCACAGGUUCAAUUCCGGU
rnacentral:tRNA from 1 species